UAUGUACUCCCUCCGUCCGGAAAUACUUGUCAGAGAAAUGUCUAAAAGUGAAUGUAUCUAGAACUAAAAUAUAUCUAGAUACAUCCAUUCCUCCGACGAGUAUUUCCGGACGGAGGGAGUAACAA
rfam:Triticum aestivum genome assembly, contig: Triticum_aestivum_CS42_TGACv1_scaffold_410015_5BL